rnacentral:rRNA from 1 species
CGCUAGCGACAGGCCUAACACAUGCAAGUCAGGGGCAGCACAAGGAGCAAUCUGAGGUGGCGACCGGCGCACGGGUGAGUAACACGUAUGCAACCUGCCUGUAAGCGGGGAAUAACCCGUUGAAAGACGGACUAAUACCGCAUAAUACUAAAUUACUGCAUGGUAAUUUAUUUAAACAUUUAUGGCUUACAGAUGGGCAUGCGCAUGAUUAGCUAGUUGGAGAGGUAACGGCUCCCCAAGGCAACGAUCAUUAGGGGUUCUGAGAGGAAGGUCCCCCACACUGGUACUGAGACACGGACCAGACUCCUACGGGAGGCAGCAGUGAGGAAUAUUGGUCAAUGGACGAGAGUCUGAACCAGCCAAGUCGCGUGCAGGAAGAAUGUCCCUAUGGAUUGUAAACUGCUUUUGCAGGGGAAUAAAGUGCAUCACGUGUGAUGUUUUGUAUGUACUCUGCGAAUAAGGAUCGGCUAACUCCGUGCCAGCCGCCGC